rnacentral:tRNA from 1 species
CAGAUAGUAGUUUACUUAAAAUACUGACCUUGGGUGUCAACGAUCGCUAAUGCGUUAUCUGA